rnacentral:rRNA from 1 species
GACGAACGCUGGCGGCGUGCUUAACACAUGCAAGUCGAACGGAAAGGCCCUGCUUUUGUGGGGUGCUCGAUUGGCGAACGGGUGAGUAACACGUGAGUAACCUGCCCUUGACUUUGGGAUAACUUCAGGAAACUGGGGCUAAUACCGGAUAGGAGCUCCUGCUGCAUGGUGGGGUUUGGAAAGUUUCGGCGGUUGGGGAUGGACUCGCGGCUUAUCAGCUUGUUGGUGGGGUAGUGGCUUACCAAGGCUUUGACGGGUAGCCGGCCUGAGAGGGUGACCGGCCACAUUGGGACUGAGAUACGGACCAGACUCCUACGGGAGGCAGCAGUGGGGAAUAUUGCACAAUGGGCGGGAGCCUGAUGCAGCAACGCCGCGUGCGGGAUGACGGCCUUCGGGUUGUAAACCGCUUUCGCCUGUGACGAAGCGUGAGUGACGGUAAUGGGUAAAGAAGCACCGGCUAACUACGUG